rnacentral:rRNA from 1 species
UAGGGAAUCUUCGGCAAUGGGGGCAACCCUGACCGAGCAACGCCGCGUGAGUGAAGAAGGUUUUCGGAUCGUAAAGCUCUGUUGUAAGAGAAGAACGUGUGUGAGAGUGGAAAGUUCACACAGUGACGGUAACUUACCAGAAAGGGACGGCUAACUACGUGCCAGCAGCCGCGGUAAUACGUAGGUCCCGAGCGUUGUCCGGAUUUAUUGGGCGUAAAGCGAGCGCAGGCGGUUUAAUAAGUCUGAAGUUAAAGGCAGUGGCUUAACCAUUGUUCGCUUUGGAAACUGUUAAACUUGAUUGCAGAAGGGGAGAGUGGAAUUCCAUGUGUAGCGGUGAAAUGCGUAGAUAUAUGGAGGAACACCGGUGGCGAAAGCGGCUCUCUGGUCUGUAACUGACGCUGAGGCUCGAAAGCGUGGGGAGCAAACAGG